UACGGGGGGGGCAAGCGUUGUUCGGAAUUACUGGGCGUAAAGGGCUCGUAGGCGGCCAACUAAGUCAGACGUGAAAUCCCUCGGCUUAACCGGGGAACUGCGUCUGAUACUGGAUGGCUUGAGGUUGGGAGAGGGAUGCGGAAUUCCAGGUGUAGCGGUGAAAUUCGUAGAUAUUCGCAAGAACACCAGUGGCGAAGGCGGCUCACUGGCCCGAUACUGACGCUGAUGCACGAAAGCGUGGGGAGCAAACAGG
rnacentral:rRNA from 1 species